UAGUGGACACCGACAUCUAAAUCAGUAGUAAAAAGAAAAGCAGGAACCCAGGACAGUGGGGAAGGACUCCAGCAAUGCAAACAUGAGUUGAAUUAUCCUGCUACUUAUCAAGAAGAAAAGAAGAGCAAAAGAUCAUUGGUUUAAUGGACGUGUUUUGGAUUUACAACUGGCAUCCUAGAAGCAGAAAUGUUCCUGUAGAUGUAGAAAUAUCAUGGUAACACUGCCCAGGAAAUCAGGGAGCUUGGUGACCAGUGUGGGAGCCUGCACAUGGAUUGCCCAGCCAUUCCUGACAACCAGCCUGGUGGCUGGAUUGGGCUGCAGCCUCUUCCCCAAACCCCCUGGGCCAUAUUGUUGUCCUGAUGAUUUCAACAGGCAUGUG